UACGUAGGGUGCAAGCGUUGUCCGGAAUUAUUGGGCGUAAAGAGCUCGUAGGCGGUUUGUUGCGUCGGCUGUGAAAUCCCGAGGCUCAACCUCGGGUCUGCAGUCGAUACGAGCAAACUAGAGUGUUGCAGGGGAGACUGGAAUUCCUGGUGUAGCGGUGAAAUGCGCAGAUAUCAGGAGGAACACCGGUGGCGAAGGCGGGUCUC
rnacentral:rRNA from 1 species